rnacentral:rRNA from 1 species
ACGGAGGGUGCAAGCGUUACUCGGAAUCACUGGGCGUAAAGCGCGCGUAGGCGGUUUCGUAAGUCAGAUGUGAAAUCCCUCGGCUCAACCGGGGAACUGCAUUCGAUACUGCGUAGCUUGAGUGCCGGAGAGGGUGGCGGAAUUCCAGGUGUAGGAGUGAAAUCCGUAGAUAUCAGGAGGAAUACCGGUGGCGAAGGCGGCCAACUGGAAGGUAACUGACGCUGAGGUGCGAAAGCGUGGGGAUCAAACAG